CGUGUGAAGACAGACGAGGGUAAAGACCAUCGACUUUUCCUGCGCGACUUUAACCGAGCAACGACUCCGAGCGACACACUUAAGCCCGCACGGGCUGCUCCUUCCAACCCCUGGUUAUCCGAGGUUCUUCGUGAACAUCGGACUACACUCAGAGCGGCAGAGAGAAAAUGGCGCAAAUCAAACGAUCUGUCGGACCUCAAACGACAAACUGGAUGCUAAACAGUCAGGUUUCAGGAGGGGCCAUUCAACUGAGACUGCGCUUCUCUCGGUCACUGAAGCCCUGCGAAUUGCAAAAGCCCAUUCCAAAUCAUCAGUCCUCAUUCUGCUGGACCUAUCUGCCGCUUUUGACACUG